AUGCAUAAGCUCGUAAAUGUUCAUUAUUUGGAAAAGUUGACAUUUAUGCUUGGAAAUGACGAUGAAGGGGAAGAGGCUAUGGUUUUUGACACAAGUCCAAGCUUUGAUGAUCUUGUAGUUAAAGUGAGAAGCGUCUUACAUUGGAAUGACCCAAAUGCUGAGGUUAAGCUUAUUGGGAGGUAUGACGUUGGAUUGGGAGUAAAGUCCCGAUUAAAGAGUAUGCCCAUCACCUCCCAAUUGCAUUGUAAUGUGUACAAGGAAAAAGUAGACGCAACACAAGACAAGUCUCUUGAGAUCUUUGCCACAAAGGUUGAUCCUCCUCCUCCCUUGCAAAUUGAUCUCAACCGCAAUGCAUCCUCCCCAAUACAUGAUGAUUGUGCCGAGGUGUAUGUCCCCAAUUGUUCUAGCCAACCACCAAGUAGCCAACCCAAUGAAGAUCAUAUCAAUGCUAGCGCCAUAGUACUCCGUCAUGAUGCUAUUCCUCAUGUUGAAGAAGAUGCUAGUGGUCAUGUUGAUGAUGAUGCUAUUGUUGCUCAAGAGGAUGCUUAG
rnacentral:rRNA from 1 species